rnacentral:rRNA from 1 species
CCUACGGGUGGCAGCAGUGAGGAAUAUUGGUCAAUGGACGAGAGUCUGAACCAGCCAAGUAGCGUGAAGGAUGACUGCCCUAUGGGUUGUAAACUUCUUUUAUAUGGGAAUAAAAUGUUCCACGUGUGGGAUUUUGUAUGUACCAUAUGAAUAAGGAUCGGCUAACUCCGUGCAAGCAGCCGCGGUACUACGGAGGAUCCGAGCGUUAUCCGGAUGUAUUGGGUGUAUGGGGAGGGUAGGUGGGUUGUUAAGUCAGUUGGGAAAGUUUGCGGAGCAACCGUAAAAUUGCAGUUGAAAAUGGCAGGCUUGAGUACAGUAGAGGUGGGCGGAAUGCGUGGUGUAGCGGUGAAAUGCUUAGAUAUCACGAAGAACUCCGAUUGCGAAGGCAGCUCACUGGACUGCAACUGACACUGAGGCUCGAAAGUGUGGGUAUCAAACAGGAUUAGAGACCCCUGUAGUC